UUUUUUAAAUGCACUUAUAAUUAACUAUUGAAUUGUAACUGAAUUUUGCUAAGUGCAUUUGUAUAACAAUAAUAUUUUUGUAUUGUAAAAGAUUAAUCUAGUGAAUUUAGUACUCGCUAUAGAUUCGUGAAUUGUCGGUUAAAUUCAGCCUCAGGUUCUUGAACACACCGAGGUUUCAUGUAAUUAUAUUUUAACUUUUUAAAACACUUUCUUGUGAGCACUCACUUGUGUGCACUUACUUGUGAACACCCAUUUUUUAUACAUACUUCUAUGAAGUCAACCUAUACUUUAUUACCAUUUUGUGAAGUACAAUAAAAUCAAACACAUAAUUUGUAACCUGAAAUUGAAGAAUCUUAUUAAAAGUAAUUAUAAUUAAAGCUAAUUUUCCCAUAGCCCUUUGGUCAUCAAACAACUCAUUUUUUACCAUCAUCAUAAUAAACAAAACCCAAUCAAUUUUGUUCAUGGUCCAGUCGAACCGUCAAAUUGUUUAAGUGACUCUUGGAAAAAAUUAAACAAUUGUCUCUUGGAGAAAAUAAAAACAAUUGUCUCUUGAAGAAAACAAAAUUCACCACAAUAGAAAAACAAUGAGGUAAUGUACAAAACGAAGAUUUAAGGGCUCAUCAGUUACAAAUCAAACAUCAAGCAGCCAAAUCGAAGAUUAGAAACCACUCGCCCAAGCCAGCAACAAAGCACCAGGGAAACCUACCGAAGACGUGUGAUACUAAGAGAAUCACAGAUCUACAAAUGCGUAUUAUGCAAGAAGUACCAUGCAUUAAGAUUUUGUGUGAAAUUUUUGAAGAUGUCAUUACAACAGCGCCUAAAUGUGGUCAAAAGACACCACUACUGCCACAAUUGUCUGGCAAGAAGCCAUAUUUUACGGUCAUGCACGUCAAAGGAUACGUGCCGAAAAUGUAAGAAACUCCACCACACCUUGCUUCACCCUACACCACAAAACCAGCGACGCAAUUCCACCAGCCACAACAAUCAGCGUCAUCAACCACCAAUAACAUCAACAACCAGACAACAAUCAUCACAGCUUUUAGCAACGCCAGAUGCCAAAAUUAUCGUAAAAGCUAUAAAGUCUUUGGCUCAGGUCCUCUCAGCUUAAUUAUUUGUUGCAAUACUGCAAGGACGGCGCCAUGUCCAAACUACCUUUGAACACUUUAUUAUAAAUUAUGAAAUAAUUUAUAAAUGUUG